rnacentral:tRNA from 1 species
GGUGCGUUGGCGAAGUGGUAACGCGACUGUCUGCAAAACAGUUAUUGCGCCAGUUCGAUUCUGGCACGCACCUCCA